AAAACUUUGGUUAAAAAAUAUAAUCAAAAAUUUAUAUUUCUGUUAUGUGUAGUAGUAAUGUUAUCCGGGUGUAAUAACAGUUUUUGUUGUUAUGGUAGCAGUAUGAAAACCGAUAGUAUUGGCGAGAUAGUGUGUGUGAUGUCGAAAAGAUCACACUGCUGCUGCUGCUACUACUACAACUACAACUACUACCUCCACUACUUUUGUUUUAUUGUUGGCGUUGUUUUUGUUGUUUUAUUGGUCUUGGGUGUAUUGUUGUGAUAGUGCUAUAGACGUAGUCGUUGUGUGGUGGGAUGUGUGUGUGUCUGUGUGUUUGCUUUCGCAUCGCCUUAAGGUGUAAUGGCUUCUUUCUAUAACGAAAAUAUAACAGCAAAAGAAAACUUUUAACGUUUAAUCACA
rnacentral:lncRNA from 1 species